CUCAGAUUCACCCACUCUCAAAUUCAGACACAAGGAAUAACAUUUAUUCACAGAUUCAGACAUAUCGAUUAACACACACAGUUUCACAUACACAGUUUUUUACUUCCUCAAAUAUUCACAUUCACUCACAGAUUCACACUCACUCACAGAUUUGCACAAGCAUAUUUAGAUACAGAUUCACACUGCCUCAAAGAUUCAUACUCAUGCACGGAUUAAGACACAAACUCACACACACUCACAGAUUCGGACACACAGAUUCACACUCACUCACCGAUACAGACACUAAUUCUUACAUACACAGAUUCAGAAACACAGAAUGACACUCACUCAGAUUCAGACACAGCUUCACUCACACAAAUUCA